ACGGAGGAUGCAAGCGUUAUCCGGAAUCAUUGGGCUUAAAGGGCGCGUAGGCGGCACAAUAAGUCUGUGGUGAAAGUCCGGCGUUCAAGGAUAGAACUGCUAUGGAUACUGUCGUUCUUGAGUGUAGGAGAGGUAAGUGGAAUGCCUGGUGUAGCGGUGAAAUGCGUAGAGAUCGGGAGGAACACCAGUGGCGAAGGCGACUUACUGGGCUGUAACUGACGCUGAGGCGCGAAAGUGUGGGGAGCAAACAG
rnacentral:rRNA from 1 species